rnacentral:rRNA from 1 species
AUGAAUUGCAUUGUUUGGAACUGUCGGGGUGUGGGGAACACCUCGACAGUUCGUGAUCUCGUGGCUCUCACUCGAGCCCAUUCCCCGAGCUUUGUCUUUCUAUGUGAAACUAGGCAGCAAAAAGAUAAGAUGUAUCGUCUUCAUGAUCGUGUUGGUCUGCGUGGUUUUGAAGGAGUUAGUAGUGAUGGUAAUGGUGGAUUAGCUUUGUUUUGGGACGAGUCUUUGUACGUUGAUAUUCGUGAUUGCAAUAAAAGAUGGAUUGAUGUGUAUGUUCGGUUACCCGCUGAUGAUCAAAUUUGGAGAAUCACGUUUGUGUAUGGGGAACCGAGGGUAGAAAAUAGACACCUGAUGUGGGAGGGGCUGAAAAGAUUGAAAGCUCAAGAUGACAUACCAUGGCUCUUGGCAGGAGAUUUCAAUGAGGUAAUGUGGGACUAUGAGCAUUUGUCGGAUACACCAAGGUCGCCCGGGCAGAUGAUUGCUUUCCGGGAUGUGUUGGAAGCUUGCAACUUAUCUGACCUAGGCUUCUCUGGCUAUCCAUUCACAUAUGAUAAUAAACGCAGUGGGCGUGCUAAUGUGCAAGUGAGACUUGAUAGGGCAGUGGCUGAU